AUCCUUUUGUAGUUGAUAAGAGUGAUGAUUGGGUUUUCAUGAGCAGGUGUGAGAUGUGCCUCCCACAACUCUUGUUACGAUGUCGGCACAUUACCCAUCUGACA
ensembl:snoRNA